UACGUAUGGGGCGAACGUUGUUCGGAAUCACUGGGCAUAAAGAGCACGUAGGCGGUUGUGCAAGUCCGUUGUGAAAUCCCCCGGCUUAACCGGGGAACUGCAUUGGAUACUACUUGACUUGAGUACAGGAGGGGAGAGUGGAAUUCCAGGUGGAGCGGUGAAAUGCGUAGAUAUCUGGAGGAACGCCGGCGGCGAAAGCGACUCUCUGGUCUGUAACUGACGCUGAGGUGCGAAAGCUAGGGGAGCAAACGGG
rnacentral:rRNA from 1 species